rnacentral:rRNA from 1 species
CUUGGUCAUUUAGAGGAAGUAAAAGUCGUAACAAGGUUUCCGUAGGUGAACCUGCGGAAGGAUCAUUACUGAGUGAGGGUCUCUCAGGCCCGACCUCCCACCCGAUGUUUUUGUGACCUUGUUGCUUUGGCGGGCCCGCCUCGACGAGAGGCCGCCGGAAGCUCACCGCUUUGGGCCCGUGCCCGCCAGUAGCCCCCUUAAAUUCUUAAUGAACCUGUCGUCUGAGUCCAUGGAUAGAAUGAAAAAAAACUUUCAACAACGGAUCUCUUGGUUCUGGCAUCGAUGAAGAACGCAGCGAAAUGCGAUAAGUAAUGUGAAUUGCAGAAUUUAGUGAAUCAUCGAAUCUUUGAACGCAUAUUGCGCCCUUUGGUAUUCCGAAGGGCAUGCCUGUUCGAGCGUCAUUAACGACCGUCAAGCCUGGCUUGGUGUUGGACGUCGGUCGUUGAGACCGCGUCCUAAAGACGUUGGCGGUGUCGAUUCAGUCCUCGGUGCAACGAGCUCCACGAGCACGCACCGCAUGGGCUAUCGGCGCCCGCCUAGACCCCUUAUUUUCUCAGGUUGACCUCGGAUCAGGUAGGUAUACCCGCUGAACUUAAGCAUAUCAAUAAGCGGAGGA